GAUGAACGCUGGCGGCGUGCCUAAUACAUGCAAGUCGAGCGAACGGACGAUAAUCUUUCUUCUCUGAUUUUAUCGGCUGACGUGUGUGUAACACGUGUAUAACCUACCUAUAAUACUUGUAUAACUUCGUGAAACCUUAUCUAAUACCGUAUGAUAUUUUUAACCUCAUGUUUCUAAUGUGCUAUACGUUCUUUCUGUCUCUUAUAGAUGUAUCCUCGCUGCAUUAGCUAGUUGGUAAGGUAACGGCUUACCAAGGCAACGAUGCAUAGCCGACCUGAGAGGGUGAACGGAAAAACUGGAAGAGAGACACGGAAAAGAGAACUAAGGGAGGCAGCAGUAGGGAAUAGGACGAAAUGGGCGAAAGAAUGACGGAGAAAAGCCGAGUGAGUGAUGAAGGACUAAGGAUAGUAAAACACUGUUAUGAGGGAAGAAAAAAAGUGUAAGAAAAAGAGAAGAGAGUGACGGUAACAAAAAAGAAAGCAACGGCGAACUACGGG
rnacentral:rRNA from 1 species